UGGGGAAUAUUGCACAAUGGAGGGAACUCUGAUGCAGCGACGCCGCGUGAACGAAGAAGGCGUUCGAGUCGUAAAGUUCUUUUAUAUGGGAAGAUAAUGACGGUACCAUAAGAAAAAGCCCCGGCUAACUACGUGCCAGCAGCCGCGGUAAUACGUAGGGGGCUAGCGUUGUCCGGAAUCACUGGGCGUAAAGGGGUCGCAGGCGGAAAUGCAAGUCAGAUGUAAAAGGCAGUAGCUUAACUACUGUAAGCAUUUGAAACUGCAUAUCUUGAGAAGAGUAGAGGUAAGUGGAAUUUUUAGUGUAGCGGUGAAAUGCGUAGAUAUUAAAAAGAAUACCGGUGGCGAAGGCGACUUACUGGGCUCAUUCUGACGCUGAGGAACGAAAGCGUGGGUAGCAAACAGG
rnacentral:rRNA from 1 species